ACCAUCCUCAUUUGGUAUUGCACUGUUUUAUGUGAACCUGUUAAAUGUUUCUCUAUUGGUAAUAGCGCAACGAUUCAGACCUUGACCCUCAUGUAAUAGAGAAGAACCUAAUGUUGGUACGAUAAAAAUGAAGCUACUGCCAGCAGCCGUGUCCAAGACACGGAAAACACAGGUGGAUUGGCCCAGAUAUCACACUGCAGGACUAGCACUGCCCCUUCUUCUACUGCAACCUCCUCUGACCCAGAGAGCUGUGGGGGAUCUGAAGAGGAACAUUUUCAAUUGUAUUUUGUAGCCAGCAGUUUUAACAAUCCUAACAGUAUGCUUUUAUAGUUGGCAAUGUCAGUUUGUUGGUUGGCCCACCACUUUUGUCCUGACUGAAAUAUUUUAACAACUAUUACAGAAAGAUUGCCAUGAUUUUUUUGUACAGACAUUCAUAAUUCCCAGAAGAUGUAUUCUAAUAACAUUCCCUCUAAACCUAGAUGAAGAACAUGGUAAACAGUGUUAAGCAAAAGCAUGUUAGCUGAUGUUAGCAUUUAGCUCAAAGCACCACUGUGCCUAAGCGCAGCCUCACAAAGCUGCUAGAGUGGCUGUAGACUCUUUAUCUUGUUUGUAUCUUCUUCCUCAGUUUGUUAAUGCAGCUGUUGCUUAACAAGCCACACGAGCAGCUCUGUGAUGCUGUGCUUAGGCUGUGCUAACAUCAGCAUGCUCACAAUGACAAUGCUAACAUGCUGAUCUUUAUUGGGUAAGGUUUACCAUGUUCACCGUCUUAGUUAAGCACGUUAGCAUGCAUGCUAGAAUGAAACACAAUGUAGAGCUGAGACUGAUGGGGAUGUCAAAUAUGAUUUGAUAUGAUACGAUUUGCAAAUAUUUGGUCAUAAACCAAUAUUAUACAAAAUUAAAUCUUGAGCUGAUAGUGGCACUAGAAGAAAAGUCAGUGGAUCACCAAAGUUGGUGGGGGGAGCAUGAAUAUUUGUACAAAAUUUCACGGCAGUCCAUUUAAUAGUUGUUAGGAUACUUCAGUGUGGACCAAAGUGGUGGACUGACAGACUGACAUUGCCAUCCCUUUCGUGGAUUAAAAUACAGUUAACCCAAAAGCUUUAUUUAAGUUAUCAGUUACAAGUAGUAUAAUUAUUAACAUAAUUCCAACAUUCAUUUAACAUCAAUCAACAAUCAUUACUCACAUGUGACAUUCAGGGUGACUGAGGCAGUAACUGUGUCAUUUU